GAGACACUGCAGAGAGGCUUCACACUAUUGUUUAUUUCUAGGGCGACUGCAAAGCCAGGGUGAAAGGACAGAAGGAUCACUGCAGCAGAUGCGUUUUUAUAUUGCUCGAUUGGAAGCUGUCCUCAUGACCGCAGUCUGAACGUUAACAGAGAAGCGUUCCGGCUGCUUUAACCAUCCUACACGUAAGCAGCUCUGGAAAUUGAAGUUGCUGCUCUUUAGAGCAUGCUGAUUUAGAGAAGCUGUGGUUCACAGUCUGCUCUUCCCCAGCCCAGUCAGUCAUCCUCUGUAAGCCUAUGAUGGCACCGUGCUGUACAAGAAGAGGUCUUCCUGUGUGCUUAUUUCUGACUUUGCACUGUGGCAUUCAUCUAUCGAGACGACAGCAACGUUCGCUUUCUCCCGGGUCUCUAACUGUAAUAGCAAGGUGGUACUCUCCUUGCCUCCCGCCUGUGUUAGCUAACUGAGCAGGCAUUUCGCUGAGGAGGAGAUGCUGCCUCCCCCCUCUCCAGGCUCUCUGAGUGUGUGACAAAGUCAACAGGCAACCAGAAUGAUAAAAACAAAAGCCAAGCGAAGCAAAUAAAAACCCUGAGCUAUAAAAGUUUGCAGACGUGCCUCAGCCGGUUCUCUCUACAGACCCCAGAACAUUUGCCACACUGAUUUUCAGAACGCCAAAAGAGAAAGAGAAAGCAUUGAAGUGACCUAAGAGGACUAUGAAGACCUUGCCUAUUGGGAGCCUGGGCACAGCCGCUGUUAGAGUGUAGCACUGUUCCUUGAGAGGAGUAGAGGUAUCAUAUCAGGUAGGAGGUGAGCGGGUGAAGGAAGGAUGCUGGGUAAACAAUGUCCACAGCAAUGGGGCUGCUUGCCCUUUAGGACAUUCACACUACUCUGCUAGGACUCCCAUUGUUAUCAUUCUGUCUAGGCUCAGUCCCACAGUUACCUGGCAACAGACUCACUAUAAAGCAAUAGACUCACUCUAAAAGGGGCUGCUUGCCCCCUCCUCACUCUCUUGCUUUCUCUUGCUCUUCCCUUCGUCUCUCUUCCCAUUCCCUUUCCCCCUCUCUUUCCACGUGCUCAUGGCCAGCCUCUUCUCCUCCACUCCUGUACUUGUCUUCUCUCUCUCUCUCUCUCUCUCCUACUCUCUUAACUCCUCUUCCCAUGCCCUUAAUAAACUCUAUUCUACAGUUUACCGUCAUGUGACUGGUCCCUUAGUGGGAAGGGAUGUCUCAGGAUGGGCCUGCUUGACCACACCUCCAUAAAACAUAUCUGCCCCUCUCUUUAUCUUUUUAUAAACACAUCACUCAUAAUAAAAUACCACAAAUUGUGUGGUUUAAACUACAAGUCUGGAGGCUGGAUGUCCAAAUCCAAGGUGUUGCCAUUUCUCUGGCCGCUCUUCUUGGUUUUCAGGGCCACAACCUCACAGUCUCAGUCCUUAUUUGUUACCUCUUCAAAGUUGUGUCUCUAAACACAGCGACAUUAGAGGUUAAAAUGUCAACAUAGAAACCUGGUGCGAGAAAUGACUUUCCCCUGUAAUACUGCACUGUGGCUUUGAUAUUCUCCUUGAUACACAUUCUCUGUGGGUCUUUGAGACUAUGCUCUGGUCUUAACUCUGGCCCAGCUCCUGACCUGUGCCUGCAUCCACCACUGGAAGAUCCUGCACUGAACCAUUUGUUUGUCUCUGCUUGGUCUUCAGCCUCCUGGGUUAGCUUCUAACUCUGCACAGUGGGAGUUUAUCAAGGCCUCUCUCUCAGCCAGCCCCAUCCAUGGGAACGUUCAUACUCUCUCUCUGUCAGGUCUGAAUUGAAGCCUUGACACAGAGGAGCCGGUUAACAUUAAGGGGAUAGUCAGAUGUAUGCUGAGUUUCGCUGAGUAUGGCGCAGGUAUUGCAAUUAACCACUGUUUUUCUAAGAAUCAUCUCCAAGAGCAAUAAACAAAUAGACAAAUAAAUAAUAAAAAUAAGGGGCUAGAGAGAUGGCUCAGUAGUUACCAGCGCUGGCUGCUCUUCCAGAGGAUCCUGGUUCAAUUCUCAGCAACCACAUGAAAGCUCUCAACUGUCUGUGACUCUAGUUUCAGGGGACUGUAGGCAGAACACCAAAGCCCAUAAAAUAAAAAUAAAUAGGUAAAUAGCAUUUUAAAAGAGUAUAUUAAUAAAAAUAGAGAAAGACUGGCUAGGAUUAGGAACUUUUUAUCGUCAGACUGAGCAGUUAGACCUUCAUUAAUUAGGUAAAGAGAGUUCUAGAAGGUUUUUCCAUAGAAAACUCAGAAGUAUAAGAGGUGCCUGGUGUGACAAACAGCUCUCCAAUGAGAGGGACUUACAGAGGCAUGGGUUUAUAUUGCUGUUUUUUUUUUAUUUGAAAUUUUUUGAAAACGUUUUAAAAUAUUUAUUUAUUUAUUUAUUUAUUUAUAUGAGUACACUGUAGCUGUCUUCAGACACACCAGAGAGGGCAUCAGAUCCCAUUACAGAUAGUUGUGAACUACUAUGUGGUUGCUGGGAAUUGAACUCAGGACCCCUGGAAGGACACUUAGUGCUCAUAACCACUGAGCCAUCUUUCCAGCCCCACUGUUUUUUGUUUUUGUUUCUUAACUUGUGCUUCCUGUGUACUGAGGACCUGUCGCACUUGCACUGCGGACCGGCUGCACAGCGGACCUGCUGUAUUGCGGACCCACUGCACUGCAGACCUGCUGCACUGCGGACCCACUGCACUGCAGACCUGCUGCACUGCGGACCCGCUGCACUGAGGACCCGCUGCACUGCGGACCCGCUGCACUGAGGACCCGCUGCACUGCGGACCCGCUGCACUGCGGACCCGCUGCACUGCGGACCCGCUGCACUGCGGACCCGCUGCACUGCUGGUCCUUAUGCUGGCGACCAGGAUGAUGGUCUUCCCCUUUGGUGAAGAAAAUAAAUGGCAAACAGUUCUUAGAGC
ensembl:antisense Gm26703 predicted gene, 26703